rnacentral:lncRNA from 1 species
GGUGAGGGCUCCAGCAUGGCAGGCUGCAGGUCCCGAGCCCUGCCCCCUUGCCCCGCGGGGAGGUGGCUGAGGCCCAGCGAAAAUUCGAGCGCGGCGCCGGCGGGCCAUCACUGUUGGAGGACCCAGUGCACCCUCCGCAGCUGUUGGCCCGGGUGCUAAGCCUCUCACUGCCCAGGGCCGGCGGCGCCAGCCGACCGCUCAGAAUGCGGGGCGCGCCGAGCCCGCGCCCACCCGGAAGUCGCGCUGGACCUGCGAGCACCGCAGGCAGCCCAGGUUCCGGCCCGCGCCUCUCCCUCCACACCUCCCCGCCAGCAGAGGGAGCCCGCUCAGGCCUCAGCCAGCACAGGGAGGGGCUCCCACGGUGCAGCUGCGGGCUGAAGGGCUCCUCAAGCGCGGCCAGAGUGGGCUGAGGCCGAGGAGGCGCGGAGAGCCAGCGAGGGAUGCCAGCAAGCUGUCACCUCUCAGAAAUACAGGAAGAACAUCAAUAAUGUUCGAAGUUAUAAAUUGCGGAGGUCAGAAGUCAGAAAACAAGGUGUCUGCAGGACCAACCUCUCCUCUGGAUGCUCUAGGUGUUGAAAUUUCCAGGAUGCAAAACGAAGGGGCAAUUCAAAACAUUCAUCUCCACUUCUCAAAAACAUCGAGUCAUGAAUAUGGAAUGACUUCACCUGACUUCACUUGAAAUUCACUUAAUUUUCAACUCUGUUGGCUAUGAGAAAAGGACAUCCAGGCCUCACACAAAAAUGGAUCAAUGAAUUGAAACUCACCAAAUCACCACCACCAGACAACGGGAUGCUGAGUCUCAUUCAUCAUGAUUGCUUCCUGAAGCCUUCUGAGUUCCUGUUUCCCUACACAUUGUUACAUUUCUUCCCUGCAACAUAAACCCCCAAUUUUAGUCCAUCAAGGUUAUAGAUUUGAGACUGAUCUCCCAUUUCCUUGGCUGCAACACCCAAUUAUAGCCUUCUUGGCAAUAAUUGUUGUCUCAGUGAUUGGCUUUCUUUGUGGCCAGCAGCAGGACCUAGACUGAACACCUGAUUUUCUGAGGUCUCUCAAAACAGAAUUUUGGCUUUUCCAGAUUGGCAAAUAGCUCUUAGUUAAAUGUGGCUUUCAAGUAUGUGUUUACUCCUUUAUGUUUCAAUUUUCCUUCAAUUUUGGCCUGGAGAGUGUCUCAACUAAGAAGCUAAAAAGGGAAAGAAAAGAAAAGCAGUUAUGUUUUUUUCCCCUCCGGCCUAUACAAACACAUACACACCAAGGUGAGA